rnacentral:rRNA from 1 species
UAAGACGAACCGUGCGAACGUUGUUCGGAAUCACUGGGCUUAAAGGGCGCGUAGGCGGGCUUGCAAGUCUGUGGUGAAAUCCUCCAGCCCAACUGGAGAACGGCCGUGGAUACUGCGAGUCUCGAGGGAGGUAGGGGCGUGCGGAACAGAUGGUGGAGCGGUGAAAUGCGUUGAUAUCAUCUGGAACUCCGGUGGCGAAGGCGGCACGCUGGACCUCAUCUGACGCUGAGGCGCGAAAGCUAGGGGAGCAAACGGGAUUAGAUACCCCGGUAGUCCUAGCCCUAAACGUUGGGUACUAGAUAGUAGCCUUCACAUGGGGUUACUGUCGGAGCAAAAGUGCUAAGUACCCCGCCUGGGGAGUAUGGUCGCAAGGCUG